GGUCGCUCGAAUAUAAAAAGGGGGAAACGACCUAACUUCGAAAUCAUCUACUUGAUCUUAUCUGAGCAGAAAGGAGCCGCUGCUAACUUCUCAAUGGCGACAAUCUCACUAGUUUUGACCGAAAUCCGAGUGUCCUGUUAAGAUGUUGCCCGCCUGUGUCUUCGCAGGUGCUCUGGUAGCGUUUUCUCCGGCCUCCGUUUUGAGCUUCUCUAAUGGGUGCCUUGAGAUCUUCUGUGUUGCUUCGCUGCGAUGAAGACUGCCUGCGGUCAGAGUCCCAUAAUCUACACUGUUAGAGGGACUAUGAUGGACUCGCGGGCUCCCCCCAUUCUACUAUUAGUUUUUUGUUUUUUCGAUUACUUUUUUUUUGUUUUUUCGAUUCUGUUUUUUUGUUUUAAAGAAAUUUGUUUUCCUUUAAUCUUGUGUUUAGGUUGGUUUUCUAGCUUACUUUGCAAAGUUUAUUACUUAUUCUUUUAAUUUUCACAUACGACCGUUUUUUCUGUUCUAUGUUAUAUGGAUCGAGAUGCGCAGUUUUGUUUUUUUAGUAAAGAUUCUGUUGAUGAGUAUUGUUUGAGUGAUUGUUAGCAGGUAUAUUGUUGGUUUAGUUCUUUGCGCGUUGAUUGUGCCAACAGAAACCCUAUGACCUAAUUUUUUAAGCUAAUGUUUCAGGGGCGUCGGUUAAACACAUGCAAACCUCAAAUCUCAAAUCAGGUGGCCUUUUCAGUACCAUGUUAUCCGGGAAACUCCACAUACAUCUGAAACCUUAUCUGGAAACUCCAGAUCAGGGUUUUGUUUAGAUUUUGCAAAUUGAAAUUACUUUACUAUGUUUCAGUUUCAGGGGUGUCGGUUAAACACAUGCAAAUCUCAAAUCAGGGUUAUGUUUAGAUUUUACAAAUUGAAAUUACUUUACUAUGUUUCAGGGUUGUGGAUUAAACACAUGCAACAAAGGUCUAAGUCCAUUAUGAGGAAUUAUACCUAUGAUUUGAUUAGAAAUGCUAGGAUUGACCCCGAGGGCAAUGGGGAUUGGAGUUCGGACACUUGCCAGAAGCUUUUCAGAAAGCAUGUAGUCAUUUAUUUUCAUUUUGUUUGAAAUGUGAUUCUUGAUAUUCACUAUAUGCAGUUGUUGCUGUUAAAACAGUAGACACUUGAACAGUAAUUUUUAUGAAAAAUAUUGCAAAUGUAAGUUCUGUUUUGUUUAUAA